CUACGGGUGGCACCAGUCGAGAAUCUUGGACAAUGGGGGAAACCCUGAUCCAGUGACGCCGCGUGCGGGAUGAAGGCCUUCGGGUCGUAAACCGCUUUUAUGGAGGAAGAAUCCCGAGAGCAAUCGAGGGAUGACGGUACUCCAUGAAUAAGGGGGUGCUAAUUCUGUGCCAGCAGCCGCGGUAAAACAGAACCCCCGAGCGUUAUCCGGAUUCAUUGGGCGUAAAGCGUCUGUAGCCGGCUUGGAAAGUCGCAGGUUAAAUACCAAGAGCUCAACUUUUGGGGUGCCUGCGAAACUGCCAGACUAGAGGGCGUUAGGGGCUGAUGGAACUCUUGGUGGAGGGGUGAAAUCCGUUGAUAUCAAGAGGAACACCAAAAGCGAAGGCAUUCAGCUGGGGCGACCCUGACGGUGAGAGAUGAAAGCGUGGGGAGCGAAAAGGAUUAGAUACCCUGGUAGUC
rnacentral:rRNA from 1 species